AGGUCAAUUCACCAAUUACUGCAACAUAACAUACACAAACCCCACAAGUGGAAGCAUGCGCUUCUUUCAUGUUGAGACCUAUCGUUGUUAAAUGCCAAAAACAUAAGUUGCUGAUCGUGGUUGUGCUCAUUUGAAUGUCAAUUUUUGAAAGUUUCUGUUAAAUUCCAACACCUGUGAGGAAGACAAUGCUUUUAAUACUUUCAGGUUAAAUGUGAAACAUGAAUUGCAAAUUCCUUAAAUUCUAGCACCUCAAAGGUCCUAAAUUGGAAUU